GUGGAUAUAGCUCAGUCCGUAGAGUGCUUGCCUGAGGACUUGCCUGAUUCCCAUGCAUGAGGUCCUGGGUUCAAUCCCCAGCCCCACA
rnacentral:tRNA from 1 species